UGACAGAAAUGACUGCUGAAGGACACUGACUGUUGGUUCUUGUUAAACUGUAGAGAGUAGCUGCUGUCAGGGAGUCUCUGGUCUUGAUCCCUGGUCCUGAUCUACAUCUUGAGCUCCAUUCCUGAGCUCAGGAAUGGAUUCAAUAACGUCACACUCUUCCAGUAAUGUAGGGGUGUGAUUUAAUGUAAAAACAGAGGAGGAGGAGCAGCUGUGUUCCGGUGAUCCAGGUGAGGUGGUCCAGUCAGGAAACAGGAAGUGAAGGACUGAGAGAGUUCAGACUCCAACGGACAGACUGAGAGAGAAGGAGAAGCAGGAGGGGAACGGAUGCUGCUAGCCGUAGAAGGCCACAGCAGAGGACACCUUCCGGGUUCCAUCUACUGCGCCUACUUCUACCGUCGGGGAGAAUCAGCCUUGCACCAUGUUCUCCCGUUUCCGGUGACUUCAGAUGGUUCCAGGGGCCUUGGUUCCUCCGGGUCCGGCGCUGGGCUGCCCUGGGACUGAUGGGACCACGUCCAUUUCAUCUUCUCCAACUGGACGGCGUGGGAUGUCCUCUCCGUCACCUUGAAUGGGCCCGUCCAUCUCGGCUCCGCCCACUUCCUCCUCAGGACCUUGAGUCAGGGUCAAUCUGAGGUUCAGCAGGACGGACCCAUCAUCCUGUCAGAGGGACAACAGUGAUCUGAUCACAGUGGAGCACAUGUGGAUGCUGUCUGGGAGGAAAACAAAAUGAGAAAAUCAUCACUGAGGAAACACACAGUUCAGUUUUCAGGAUCCAGCAGGUUGUCUCUGAAGAGUGACUGGUCCAAUGAUAUUCCACCAGACUUCAAUGUUGAACCUGGACCUUCAGACACAAAUUCCACAGCAGAGUCUUCAGGAUCCAGCAGGUUGUCUCUGAAGAGUGACCGGUCCAGACUUGAACCGCCACUCUUCAGUGAUGAACCUGGACCUUCAGACACAAAAGAGAAGAAGAGGACUGAUGUGUGUGAGGAGCAGCCAGAAAGAUCCAGAAGCGCCGCUGCACUAAGUAAGAGUGGACAUGUGUCUGCUGAGGGACUGGUCUGUCUUCGCUGGACUUGUUGUUGUGUUGUAGAGACAUGAAAGCUUGUUGUUUGUGUGCAGUGUGAUUGUUGUUGUUGUCUGUGAGCAGGUGUGGGUCUGCAGCAGCUUCUAGAAGAACAUAA